AGGAUGAACGCUAGCGACAGGCUUAACACAUGCAAGUCGAGGGGCAGCGGGGGUGAUGGCUUGCCAUCACCUGCCGGCGACCGGCGCACGGGUGAGUAACACGUAUGCAACCUGCCCGCCACAGGGGGAUAAGCGGAAGAAAUUCCGUCUAAUACCGCGUGACGCGGCGUCGGGGCAUCCCGGUGCCGCCAAAGGGAUUACCGGUGGCGGAUGGGCAUGCGGCGCAUUAGCUAGUCGGCGGGGUAACGGCCCACCGAGGCGACGAUGCGUAGGGGUUCUGAGAGGAAGGUCCCCCACACUGGUACUGAGACACGGACCAGACUCCUACGGGAGGCAGCAGUGAGGAAUAUUGGUCAAUGGGCGGGAGCCUGAACCAGCCAAGUCGCGUGAGGGAUGACGGUCCUACGGAUUGUAAACCUCUUUUGCUGGGGAGCAAGCGUGCGUUCGUGAACGCGCGUCGAGAGUACCCGGAGAAAAAGCAUCGGCUAACUCCGUGCCAGCAGCCGCGGUAAUACGGAGGAUGCGAGCGUUAUCCGGAUUUAUUGGGUUUAAAGGGUGCGUAGGCGGGAUGCCAAGUCAGCGGUAAAAAUGCGGUGCUCAACGCCGUCGAGCCGUUGAAACUGGCGUUCUUGAGUGGGCGAGAAGUAUGCGGAAUGCGUGGUGUAGCGGUGAAAUGCAUAGAUAUCACGCAGAACUCCGAUUGCGAAGGCAGCAUACCGGCGCCCUACUGACGCUGAGGCACGAAAGCGUGGGUAUCGAACAGGAUUAGAUACCCUGGUAGUCCACGCAGUAAACGAUGAAUGCUAACUGUCCGGUGCGAGUGAGCGCUGGGCGGUACAGCGAAAGCGUUAAGCAUUCCACCUGGGGAGUACGCCGGCAACGGUGAAACUCAAAGGAAUUGACGGGGGCCCGCACAAGCGGAGGAACAUGUGGUUUAAUUUGAUGAUACGCGAGGAACCUUACCCGGGCUCAAACGCAGGCUGACGGGUCCCGAAAGGGGCCUUUCUUCGGACAUUCUGCGAGGUGCUGCAUGGUUGUCGUCAGCUCGUGCCGUGAGGUGUCGGCUUAAGUGCCAUAACGAGCGCAACCCCUGUCCACAGUUGCCAGCAGGUAAAGCUGGGGACUCUGUGGAGACUGCCGGCGCAAGCUGCGAGGAAGGCGGGGAUGACGUCAAAUCAGCACGGCCCUUACGUCCGGGGCGACACACGUGUUACAAUGGCAGGUACAGCGGGAUGCCACGGGGCGACCCGGCGCUGAACCCGAAAACCUGUCUCAGUUCGGAUUGGAGUCUGCAACCCGACUCCAUGAAGCUGGAUUCGCUAGUAAUCGCGCAUCAGCCACGGCGCGGUGAAUACGAUCCCGGGCCUUGUACACACCGCCCGUCA
rnacentral:rRNA from 1 species